GGGACUGCCUCACUUACCAACAAAAUAGAUGACUAGCCCGGUGCCAAUUAACCUCCUUUUAAUUGAUAAUUAAUUUUAAAACCUAUUUACUCUCCCUGGAACAGCUGAGACUUUAAAGAGACCACUGUGAAAACAAAUGGAGAAGAAAGUCUUCUCGCAGGAAAUGAACAGGGCCGCUCAAGGAAGGAGAGAGAUCCGGCCUUUCUCUCCCACGAGCCAGUUUAGUCCCACCCACUAGAGAAAAUGUUAAUGUGUCAACCCAUCCAGGACCCAGUUACCCCCCAAAGCUGAAGACACUGCUGAUGGCAGCCCUCUAACAUGACCCUGGCCUGGGGCCUCCUUCUGCCUGCCCUUGUCCAUCCCACCAGAUGCCUGAAACGCUCCCAUCACUAAAUCCAUGAAUACCUCGGUUUUAAAAAUGUAUGUGUAGUGAGCUUUUUUGUGCAUAUAAAAAGCUCUGACC
rnacentral:lncRNA from 1 species